CUCCUGUCACCACUCUCGUCAUGCAGUGUCGGUGAGGGAUCGCGGGUGGCAGCAAGGGGUGACCUGUUGCUCUCCCAGUCAUAAUCUCAGCGUAAAGAGCGAUCAUACCUUCUGGUACUUCAUAGUGGGAAUAUAAAAGAACACAAAAGAGAAACAAAUAGUUGGGAGCUUCUUGUCUCUUAAGUGGUGGUUCAAUAUAAGAUAGAGAAGCCUUUUUUUUUUUCUUACUUUUUUCUCUUUCUUUCUCUUCCUUGUCUUGUUCCGUUUGUUAAUAAUGAGGGUAGUAGUGAUGGUGGUGCUGCUAGUGAUGGUGGUGAUGGUGGUGGCGGUGAAGGCAAUGGAGGUGAUACAGCAAGAAUCGUCUAGCCUUUCCUCUCCUUCUUCUUCAGAUACUGAUGGGUUGAGAUGGAUGAAGACAUGGGCAGUUGAGAAUGGUGAAGGAGGAGAAAGGGGAGGAGGAGAAGCACUCGGGAGGAAGAAGAGGCAAACUGAGGGCGAUUACUAUGACUACUAUGGAGGAGACACAGGAGACAACAACUAUUAUGGCAACACCGAAGGAGAAGACGGAGGAGGCGCAGGAGGAGGAGGAGGAGGAGGAGGAGGAGGAGGAGGAGGAGGAGGAGGAGGAGGAGG